GGGCUUGUAGUGAAAUGGAUAUCACGCGAAACUACGGAUUUCGUAUUGGGGGUUCAAAUCCUCCCAGGCCCACCA
rnacentral:tRNA from 2 species